AUUGAACGCUGGCGGCAUGCUUUACACAUGCAAGUCGAACGGUAACAGGCCGCAAGGUGCUGACGAGUGGCGAACGGGUGAGUAAUGCAUCGGAACGUGCCCAGUCGUGGGGGAUAACGCAGCGAAAGCUGCGCUAAUACCGCAUACGAUCUAUGGAUGAAAGCGGGGGACCGAAAGGCCUCGCGCGAUUGGAGCGGCCGAUGUCAGAUUAGGUAGUUGGUGGGGUAAAGGCUCACCAAGCCGACGAUCUGUAGCUGGUCUGAGAGGACGACCAGCCACACUGGGACUGAGCCACGGCCUCUGCUCCUACGGGAGGCAGCAGUGGGGAAUUUUGAACAAGGGGCGCAAGCCUGAUCCAGCUAUGCCGCGUGCAGGAAGAAGGCCUUCGGGUUGUAGACUGCUUUUGUACGGAACGAACAGGCUCUGGUUAAUACCUGGGGCUCAUGACGGUACCGUAAGAAUAAGCACCGGCUAACUACGUGCCAGCCGCCGCGGUAAAAC
rnacentral:rRNA from 1 species